UAAGUAAGACAGACAAUCGCGGCUGCAGGUGCCGAAAGGCAGCAGACGAGGAAAGUCCGGGCUUCACAGGGCAGGAUGCCGGAUAACGUCCGGUGGAGGUGACUCCAAGGCCAGUGCAACAGAAAUAAACCGCCUGGGAUACGUCCCAGGUAAGGGUGGAAAGGCAGUGUAAGAGACUACCGCCUCUCUGGUAACAGGGAGGGCACAUGUAAACCCCAUCCGAAGCAAGACCGAAUAAAAGCAAGGUGGCUGCCCGUCACGCUUUAGGUAGGUUGCUUGAGCCUGGUGGCGACAUCAGGCCUAGAUAGAUGAUUGUCCACGACAUAACCCGGCUUACCGUCUUGCUUAACAC
rnacentral:RNase_P_RNA from 1 species